UAGUGGCUUGUGGUCCGUAUAAAUUGU
rnacentral:sRNA from 1 species